AGAGAUCUGAUCAGUCAGGCUGCUGGUUAUAUUCCAGGACUAAUCUGGUCCUGGGUAUAACCAAAGCCCGACUG
rnacentral:pre_miRNA from 14 species